GAGGCGCAGACGGUGCCAGCUUCAGACCUGGCAUCAUCAAAGUGCGGGAGCUGCAUCAAAAUGUCCAGGGCUAGCCAAGGCUAUAACGAGGACGCUUUGGGACCAUACGAUCCUCAAGCCAAGGGCUAUAAUGCCCCGUAGCAUAGCCCUGCACAGACUGGCAUCUAGGCGGUUGUCGGGAUGUCAGGACGCGGGGCAAGGACUGUGACUAUAGAUUUGGGGAGCCUCACCCAAAUCUCAAGGCAAUAAGCAGAGACCGCGUUUCUCUGCCCUUCCAACAAACCGUAGGGGUAAGGAGGUGCAGGGCUUAUAUGCACCUUGAUUCUGGUGCUCUCAUGAAGAACCUGGUGGCUUGUUCAGAAUAAAGGAUGGGAAGGUGGCCAGGCCUCAUGGCUGCAGAACGCAGGAUUCAGACAUGACACAUGGCAGAGAGUGAAAGAGAAAGCACUUGGCUGUCCCUUCGUAUGCAGGCAACCUGGAGCCCUCAGAGUCCCACAUAGUCGAAUCCUACAUUCAUUGGCUCUGUGCCCCCCCUGUGGCAGAUGGAGUGCAGCAGGUGAGAGUGUGUCUGGGAAAGAAAGAAAGAAGCAGCCCAGAUGCCUCCCCUCCCGAUUCAUGGAGGCAGAGCAGGCAUGCUGGCCGGUCUUCUCUCCUACCCAGUGAUGGCACUUCCCCAUGCAUUUCGAAACGGUCUGCACACAGCAUGGGGAAGGACUCAAGCCCUGCCCUUUAAGCAGCCCCCAGCAAACUGUAAGCAG